rnacentral:lncRNA from 1 species
GCCACUCCGAAAUCGUAGACUCAUCAUCCUCUUCCUCAUUACUUGGGUGAACCUCUUCCACCCACACUACUACUUUGAAUUCAUUAUCACUUGUGUGAACCUCUUCCUCUUUCUCUUCCUCUUUGAAUUCAUCAUUACUUAGGUGAACCUCUUCCACCCACACUACUUCUUUGAAUUCAUUAUCACUUGUGUGAACCUCUUCCUCUUUCUCUUCCUCUUUGAAUUCAUCAUUACUUAGGUGAACCUCUUCCACCCACACUACUUCUUUGAAUUCAUUAUCACUUGUGUGAACCUCUUCCACCCACACUACUACUUUGAAUUCAUUAUCAUUUGUGUGAACCUCUUUCUCUUCCUCUUUGAAUUCAUCAUUACUUGGGUGAAC